CUAUAGUCAAUUGGUGUUGCACCUGCAGGUUGAGAGAAAUUGCUGGACUUAAGAGUUUUGCUGGGUAUUUGUUGAGAAUGAGAGUUUAUCUACUGGAAUUUCACUGAGAAUAUGGGAGGUGUUUUGCACUACAAGAUUUGACGGCUUCAUAGCUUGUAAAAUUUAAAGCAUUCGCUCGAGUUAACUUUUUUUUAUUACUUUGGAUGUGUUAAUUUUUGGAUACAAGUGUUUUUGGAUGAUGUUAUUAAUAUAAAGUGUUUUUAGACUUGAUAGAAUGUAUAAUCUAAAUUUUGGUUUAUAUUGAAUUUGUGAUUAAAUUCAUAUGCAGGAAUGCAUAAAUUAAAUUAAAAUAAUUCAGAAUUUAUUUUAAUAUAAAUUUAGAUCCUGUGACAAAAAAAUCAGUCAUAAAUUAUGUCACAAACAAAAUAAUUAAUGAUAAAAAAAUUCAAUCAUUAAUUCCAUCACAAACAAAAUAGUUUACCCACUAAAAUUAAUUGGAUAAUAAUUUAGGUGUAAAAAUUAUUUUCCCGCUAAAAUUUAAGAUAAAAUUUAAUUUUUGUGCCAAAAAAUUAAUUAAAAUAUUUAUUUUUUAAGAUGACAGACAUAUGACUUCGAAACACUAUCAUAAGUUAAUGACAUACUUUUUAUCUAUCACAAAAAAGUGACAGGUACAUAGAUAAUAGAUAAAUUCACUGUCAUCCACCUCCCUUUAUAAUAGUUUUUUUCAGUCAUCUAUUGCCGGUUUUCUUAUAAUAUAAAAUCUUAAAUUGUAUUAAUGUUUAAAAUAGUGUAAAAUCUUAAAUUGUAUUACUGUUUAAAAUAAAAGCUUAAUUCCUUUGGAAUAAAUUAUUCGGUCCCCUGUGAAUUAUUAUCUUAAAAUUGAAUUCGUUCUUGCAAAAUGAAAAUUUCUCUUCGACAUUGGUGGGCGGAAAACCUGAUCCCUUAAUCACUUAUUUUAAUUCUUUACAAUAGCCCAUCCAAUUGAUUCAUCCCCGGAGAAAACUUUCUCACAAAAGUUGGAUUGGAAUAUUUUAAUAUAACGUAUACCAUGAUUUAAGCUCUAACAAUUCAAUUAUUACAUGCACAAUCACUAUGGAGGUUUGAAACUGGAACUCAUAAGACAAAUUAAUGUUGACGACGAAUCGCUAUCCAACCAAAUAAAAUUUCAACGUUUGAUGUGCGUACAUUCUUGAAAUUGAAGAAAGAAUAACUCUCUAGGAGAGAAAUCGUCGAAUUAACGAUAAAGAUAAACUCAAAGAGAAUAAACCGAAAUAUUAUUGAUAAAAGAUUUAAAGGUGUUAUAAUAAACUAUCAAUAACCAGAUUAUUUUUACUAUUAGCUAAUUUAAUCCUAAUCAUUCUCAUCUAAGAGAAAUAAUUUGAAAUCCUAAUUAAAUUAGAAUUACAAAUACAAUCCAAAUAAGUAUAAUAAAACAAGUUAAAUUUAAUAAAAUACUAAAGAAUAAAUUAACUCAAAAUUUGGAAUUCCUAACUUAUUAUGUCCCAUAUGCUUCCUACAUCAAUCUCUACAUCUUCGAAAAGAACAUUCUCGAGUUUUGCUGAAAACAUAAAAUAAUGUGGAGGAUAAAAUUUAUAGUGAAGAAGUAAUUGAUCUUGUAACGUGAACUUGUAGCACUUUGCAUCAACUUUUCUUGAAAUUCGAAAGUACCAAAACUUCAAUUUCUUCUUAAUUUUGAGUAUGACUCUUCUAAAAUAUGCAAACUUGUAGGAACAAACCAUUAGAAUUUCCUUUUAACUUUCUCUAUGCUUUGCUCAAUGUAUUUUUCAUUCAAUUUCUCCUUCUGAGCUAAAUCUUCUUUAAGCACAAAUUUAUCUUCAAUGUAGAUAUGGAUAACCAUAUCAAUUAUAUCAGUUCUUCAAGAACAAUUUGCUUAGCUCCAUGAAUAAUUGAUAAAACUAUAUCAACUUUGUCACCUUCAAGAACAAUUGUUGUCUUUUCACCUAGAGCUUGUUGCACAGUUUUAACCAUAUCAUUAGACAUAAAACUCAAAUCAAGAAUGGAUUGUACCUCCUUAUUGGAAACUUCAUGUUUAUUUAGAAUCUUUUCAAAAGAAGAUUUUGUGACAUUCUUCUUUUCCAAUGAUGAAAUCGAUAAAACUUUAUCUUCCACAUUUAUACCUUCAACUUCAAAAUCUUGGAUAAAUUCUUUCUUUUUACUUAUUGCAAUAGUUGAAUCUUGAAUAAUCAAUAUAUCUUUAAUAACUUCUGUUUCAAGCACAACAUUUCUUUUUAUGUCCAAACUAUCAACCUCAAGAGUGAAACAAGGUUGCUCAAUAAUAGAAUCAUUCGGUGAUGAAAUUUUCACUAUAGGAUCUUGCUUCAAUGAAGAACUAUCUUAUUUUAGAACAAAUUUAUGGGACUCUUGAUCUUUCUGUCUUUGAUUGUCACCAUGCUCUUUCACUCGUUCAAAUCUCUUAAAUGCUUGCUUUCUCUCUUUCUUGAUCUGCAAUUCGACUUCAAAAGUAAUUUUAAUGACAUGCCAAUAUUCAUGAGUAUGAUCAAUUUGGAACAAACUCGUUCUUUAGUAUUAGCAUGUAAUUUUUUCACAAAUCUUGAAAUUGUAUUUCAUUAUCUUUAAAAAGAUUCACAUGACAACGAUAAUUUUGAAGUUGAGAUUCAUAAAAUCGAACAGAAUUUGUACCUUGUUGACGCUUAUCAAAUUUACGAUGGAUUGUUUGAAAAUAUUCAAGAGGUAAAAAAUAAGCUUUUAUCUUCCUUUUCAUAUUAUGCCAAGUUCAAAUCUUGUCUCUUCCAUUUAGAAGUCGUUUUGCUUGUAAAUUUGUCCACCAUUUUGAUGCAUGUCCUAGUAAUUUAACUAAAACAUACUCAACAUGUCUAUCCUAUAGAAUAUCUUCAAGAGUAUCUUCAAUUUUGAAAAUCUAAUUGAAAAUAUCCCAAGAAUUAGUUAAUCCAUCAUAAUAGAAAAAGAUCAUUGUCAUCUUCUCUAUAUCUCAAUGUACCACUUUUUUUUUUAAAUUUUCUCUUUUUUCUUUUUUUGUUUUGGGGUCUUUUAUAAGAACAGAAAAAUUAAAAGGAUAGUAAUGUAAUUAAAAAAAAAUAUUAGGCAAAACUUAUAAAUAAGUAAAAUAUGAAUUUACCGGCGAUGAUGAUUGGGAAAGGAACGGUAUAUCUAGAAGAGUUGAUGAUGGUGAGUGUGAUGGUGGUGGUGGUUUGACUCGGAUCAUGAUAGUUGAUCAGAAAAUUGAAGUGAUUGGAGGUAUGUUUUGGUUUUCGGUGAGUGGGGUGCGGUUGGCAGAGGGAUUUGGUUGAAAAAAGAGGUCUGAUGAAGGGAAGUAAUUUGGUUCUGGUGGUGGCUGGUAAAUGGGAUGGACAACAUCGAAACGAGAAGUGUUUGGUGUGGCAUUUUAACGACUCUUUUGGGUAGUUUUCAGCGGCUGAAAUGGUGGAUUGAUGGUUCUUGAUGGGUGGGAUUUGGUCGGUGACGUGAGUACAUUCAGAUGGGGUGAGGAUCUUCGCGAAAAGAAGAAGGACGCCAAAGGCAACAGCCUUGCGCGUUGGCUGUGAAGGUGGCUUCGAGUUUUGCUGUUUUUUCUUUUUUCACUUGGUGGAAUUAAUGGAUAAGGAGGGAAGGAUUUGAGUAUAGAAGGCGGUUGAUGGUUAAGAAAGCUCUGCUUAGAAUAGAGAAAGACUCUGAUAGGCAGUGUGAAAGUGAUAUUAGAUCUUGUUCUACUACGUUCUUGAAACUUAAGAAAGAAUAAAUCUUAAGGAGAGAAACCGUCGAAUUAACAAUAAAGAUAAAUUUAAAGGGAAUAAUCUGAAAUAUUGUUGAUGAAAAGUGUAAAGGUGUUACAAUAAAUUAUUAAUAACAACCCUAUUUAUGCUAGUAACUAACUUAAUCCUAAUCCUUCUCAAAUAAUUAAAAUAAUCUAAAAUCUUAAUUAAACUAGAAUUACAAAUACGACUUAAAUAAGCAUAAUAAAACAAGAUAAAUACUAAUAAAAUACUAAAUAUUAAAUUGACCCAAAAUUUAGAAUUCCUAAUUUAUUUUACCCUAUAUACUUCAUACUUUAAUAUUACAGAAAUCAUGAAAUACUUUCUAAACUCAGUCAUUGACUAACCAUUGGCUAAAUUAUUGUGAAUAUGAGGAGAAUUUGGACUUGAAAUGAUAAUGGACUGUCUUUCUUAAUUUCUUUGGUGAGUCUCUAUAUUACGGGAUUGUGCGAGGCGUUUCAGUUGUAAGUCUUUUGGAAGAGCAAUAUAGAUUGUCAUUUUUGUUUUCCAGUGAUUUGUUACUCGCCAUGUUGAUGCAAGAUUGAGUUGGUGUGUUGAUUUCAAAUUGGUACGUGACUCGUGUGGCUACUUGUGCUUUAUGUGUUGUGACUGUUUGAAUUUCGCAGUGGUGGGCAUUGUAUCUUAACAUAAUGCAACAAGCUCAAUAGCCCAACAAUAUGAAGUAUUUAUUACUACACCUAUCUGUACAUAAAAUUGUUAUUUAUAAUGUACAAAUGGAUUCGAAUCCUUCUUAUUUUUUCUCUCUUUACCUCUUCUUUUCUUCGUAAUCUAGUGGAAAUAAACUAGCUUGAUUAUAAAUAAAUUAAAAAAAUAUAUAUAGAGGUAAGAAGAAACUAAAAAAUAAAGAGAAGAUCCUUAUCCAUUCAAAUAUGGCAGCAUUAAAUGGCAUUUUCGGUAAUGGAAGCUUGAACUUAAAGCUCAUCAGUAUCUAGUAUUUGUGUGAUCAUUGGGUUAAUCUGGGGAGAAAGCAAAAUAAAAACUAAAACAAGGACAAGAUAUAUGAUAAAUUAAUUUUUUAAUCUAAAUUGGAAAAUUUUGAUCAAUUGACCUUAGAGCUGGUGGCCUUUUCAAAUUUUUUGCCAACAGUUCUAUAUGCUUAAAUGAAAAUGCUAUUGAUAAAAGAAACUAAAUUCCCAUUAAUUUUCCUUAAAAACAUUUUAAAGAAAAUCAUUCAUCAAAUCAUAAUGUUGAAAAAUUAAAGAAUUUUAGUGAAUGUAAAGUAUAAAUUUAAAUGAAUUCUAGCUUCAUUAGAGUACUAGAAUGAAAAUGCAUGUCACCUAUUUUAAUAAUAUUUUGAGUUUUGUUUCUUUUAAAAGGGUUAAGCAAGACCCCUUUAUCUAUCUAUUAAAAUAAAAAUGAAAAUAAAAACAUUUGGUAGACCAAAACCCGCAAGCCAAAAAAUAACCAACAAAAGAAAAAUAGCAAAAGCAAAUAAAAGAAACAAAGAAUAAACAAGAGAACAACCUAAGGCAAACCUAAUAAAAUAAACCAUAUGAAGGUGAGCUAACUCCUAGAAUACCGUUUACUAUAGUACUUGCGUCCAAUGACUAACUAAAAGCACUUUUUUGAACCUGAGGCACGAGGCUAGUAACACUAAAGUCGGGGCUAAGAUCACAUUCCAUAGUACCCUCAAGCUCAGAUAAAAAGUAUUCAUUAGCUAUAAUGAGAAAGAAUAUCUAGAGAGUGGGAAUUGAAACCUAUAGCCAUUGUGCGAAUAUUAUCCACUGCAGAUUAGAAAACAUAGAGCCCAUGGAUAUCCUGUGAGCACCCAAAUCAUCCAAAAUCAUAUCAUCACCAUCAUUAGUCAUAUUAACUAGGAUCUGCAAAAAAGAAUCACCGCGAUCCCAAGGCUUAACAACUAGAUCAGACUGAAUAGGAAUGGCAAUAUCAUCAAUAAUAAGAUCAUUAGUAAAAAUUAGAAUGAGGCCACUUGGCCAACUAAAUCCACAUCAUCAUCUCGAGCAUCAGAAAUAGGGAUUCUAGCAUCUUGAAAUGCACUUGCAGUAACAUCGGGCCAUAAAGGCUGAACCACCCCAUGAAAAAUAGGCUGCUAAGUCAAACCAAAAAAUUGUCCUUAAACAAAAGAAGGCUAAGCAAUAGGCCCCCCAUGUUGAUUAUCUACAACAACAACAUAUUGAGGAACAAUAGGAACCUAAGGCUGAACAUCUAUAACAGACAUAAAUUGCUUACCUUUAUCUCUAGUAUCUUUACCCUGAGGUUUAUUAAUAGGUUGUUGAGGCUUUUGAAGCCCAAAAUUACUACAUAGCAACCAUUUGCAUAAUGACCAAAGUGCUUAUACAAAACACAAUAAGAAACAACCUAUUCAAAAAUCAUACCCAAAGUCAGAAUCACCUUCACUAAUCCAAAGGCAAGGUAAAAAAUGUCACGAAACAUCAUUUUCUAUCAAAACUGUAGCAAAUGAAAGCCUAUUAAUAGAACCAAUAGCAUGGUCAACGCGUAAAGUUUUCCCUAUCACAGCAACGAUUAAACAUGAUGCUUCUUUGCAAUGAAUAAAGUGAAUAGGUAAAUACAGCAAAGAAACCCAAAUAGAAACCACAAGGGACUCCUUAGAACAAUAAAUGGUAGUGGACCAUUUAAAGAUCCUCAUAGCUUUACAACUGAUAUAUCAUGUCUGCCUAACCCAAAUUUCUGGGAUAGUCUUCCUCUAACUGAAGCUUUCUUAAAACAUGUCAUUUAUCAAGCAAGGUGCUUGAGUACUGCUUUUUGAGCCAAGGAGAAAAGAGAACUUACCCACCAGAGACAGCUUGAAUGGUUUAGCCAUGGUCGAAACCUCAGCAACUAUAAAAUGAAUAGCAGGUUCGCCUCGAUGAAAGAUGCCCAUAUUAACAAAUAAAGAUAGCCAAUACGAACCUACAACAAUAUCAACAAAGGAUUUAAAGGGCCUAGAGGCAACAUUAGGGUCAAGGAUGGACAUUGGAUUGACUGCAGAAGCAUAUAAUAACUUAGGGAUAGUAGAAGAGUAAUAGGUAGAAGGAUUUGUGCUGGUGGUCAAGCUUAGGUGGGCCCAUAAAUAGGUUGCACACUAUCAGUGUUUGUUUUGUCACGAUCUAAGGUUUGAGAUAGAUUGUGAGCAUGCAUUUGCAAAGAGGCAGUGGCUUGUUUGUGAUUAAUGGUCAUUAAAAACAUUAGAGGCGGUUGGGCAGGAUUAAGAAGGGCCAAUCCAAUGAGGGAUGCAGCAGCUGUUGGUGAUGAGUGGCAAUGAUAGAAGGCAACAAAGUCAAUGGAAGCAACUGUUGGUGAUGAGACGCAUACGACUGGCUAGGGUUUGACGCACGCGUGUGUGAAAGAGACACGAUCAGUGGGAUUUGGUAAGGGUGAUGGCUAUGAGGCAGUUGUAGGGUGGCAUGGAAGGGAUUAAAUCAUCACUAAGGAUGGUGGGGGUGGGGGGGGGGGGGGGGCGACGACAUGAGAAGGAAAGCGAGCAAUGGUUGGCAACAUUGCAAGGCCAAAAACGGCCACCAAAAGGAGUUGUGUGUGGUGAAAGGCCUUCCGGCUAGUUGCAUGGUGGUCGGUGGUGAGGGGUGGUGCUGACAGUGUCUUGUCGCCACCAUCGGCAGCCGGUGAGGCCAUACCAGCAACAAGAAAGUAAAAGGAGUGUGGCGGCUAUAUGAAUUGGGGUUUCAUCGUUUUAUCUUUUUUUGUGUAUUAAACUAUCUGGUAUUUGAUGAGCAUAUAAUAUGUACAUAUUUUUACGCUUAAUUAUAUGAUUGAUAGUUAUUUUUAUAUGUUAUUUUUAAUUAAUUGAAUUAUUUUGUUAAAUAGGAAAUUAAUUGGAGAUUAUGGAUAAAAAAGGCAUGAAGAAGUUUAAUUUGGGAAGUAAUGAAGAUUAGAUUGGAAAUUAAUUGGAAGACAAGAAAACCAAAAGCGGAAGUCAAUCUCUUCAAAUAAUGAAUGGUGGACAUGCAUUUAGAAAACAAAGAUUUGGUGAUGGCAAUUGCACAUGCAUGGCUUUACAAUUUUGGAAAGGAAUUUAAAGGAACCCUUAGAGCUUCCAAUUUAAAAAAAGGGAAACAAACUUAUGGCUUAUGGCGUUGACAAGUAAUGGUGGCAUUAAUUGGGAAAAUUGACUUUAGAUUGGAAAUUGGAUCCAGCCAACAAAGUGUACAAGAUUUGGCCAAUAAUUGCAUGGUCCUGGGCAUUAUAUGAUGGUAAGCUAGAAACUAAAAAAAGGACGCAAGGAGAGACAAGAGACAAAGAGAAGAGAAGGGCUGCAGCAAUUUAAUUCUCCAUGGCUGGUUUUAUUUAUUUUGUUGCUCCCAAUUCAAGUGUAUUUAACUAAUUUUCUUAUAUUAAGGUUAAGGAUAAAAUCUUAUUCAAUGAAAUAAUCAUCUUUAUAUUCAAUUAAUUCCCUACAUAUGUGCUUUAAUGCUUAUAGUUCUUGUUUCACAUGAUUAGUUAGAUGUUAUUAAAUUCUUUUAACCAAUUCUAUCAUGCAUUAUUGAUUGUCAGGAUUAAUAUUUGACUAAAUCUAUGCUUAGAUCUAUAAAGUUUAUAUAUGAUUAUCUUUGAUUCUGUGUCUUUCAUUAAAUUAUUUACACAGAGUGCUUAGGAAGAUUUUGACUCUUUGUUAUUUAUUAUGUUUACAUAAGAUGCUUAGAUAUCAUACUAUUAAGCAGAAAAAGAACCUACAUAAGAUUAAUUUUAAUUGGUCUUAAUUGUUAUAUUCAUGAGAUGACAUGUAUUGAUUUCGAGUUGUCACUCUAAAAUUGAGGAUUAAUUAACAAUUAGAUAAUUACUAGUUGAAUGGUGGUGGAUUCUGAAACCUUGGUAAUUUUUUUCUUAUUGGAUUCUCCUUUGCUUUAAUUGUUUUCUUAUUUUAAUUAGUUUUAUUUCUCUUAAAAACUCAAUUUGCUCAACUAGGUUAGGAUUAAUAUUAAUUUUAGAUUUAAAUUAGACUUUUCAAUUUAUAACAAUCCCUGUGGGUUCGAUCUCGUUAUCACUAUUGUAUUUCUAGAUUUGUGCGCUUGCGAGUAUAUUAAAAAUUUUUACAAUAAAUUUUUGGCGCCAUUGCCGGGGAUUGUGCUAGAAAGUCAGUUUAAUUUAGGUUGAUUUGAUUAUUCCACUAGUUAUAAUUUAGGUUGACUUUUAUUUUUAUUAAAAAAACACAAAAAAGAAUUUAAAAUUUUACUUUGAAUUCAUUGUUUGGUUGUUUGAUUUCUUUUAUUUUAAAUUUCGUUUAUUUUUCAUGGUUAUUGGUUAAUUUUUUUCUUUGUCUAGUUAGUUUAUGAGUGUUUGGGAAUGCGAUUCAACAAAUCGUUUGGUAAAAAAAGAGUCUAGAAUUGAGAGUAAUCAAGCUAGUUCUUCUCAAGUGAUGGAUGUCCCAAAUAGAAUAUUGCCAGUACUACCACCAGUGCAAGCAGAGAAAACCCUUAGAGAAUAUUUUUCACCACUUGCAGUCAACCAACCAUCUUGUAUUGUGCUGCCACAAACGACAGCAACACACUUUGAGCUCAAGCCCUUUGUCAUUCAGCUUUUACCAUCUAUCCAUGGGUUAGAGAGAGAGGAUCCAUAUUUGCACAUUAAGGAAUUUCUUGACAUAUGCUCUACAUUUUGUUUUCAAAAUUUUAAUGAUGAGUCAAUUAGGCUUCGUAUGUUCUCUUUCUCAUUAAAAGACAAAGUGAAAGCUUGGUUGAAAUUACUUCCUACUAGGUCUAUUACUACGUGGGAUAAAUUGAUUAAUAAGUUCCUUACCAAGUUUUUCCGUAUGUCUAAAACAAAUACCCUUAGGUGAGAGAUAAGUGAGUUUUAUCAAAGAGUGGGUGAGCAAUUUUAUGAGUGUUGGGAAAGAUUUAUUGAUUUACUCUUUAAGUGUCCCCACCAUAGUUUUGAGAAAUGGAGACUUAUACAAUGCUUUUAUAAUGGUUCAAGUAUGUCAAAUUAUCAUAUGGCAGAGUUUAUGAAUGGUGAGAGAUUUUUAAACCUACAUGAAGAGGCUGCAUGAGAUUUCUUUAAUUCACUUUAUGAGAAUUCUCAAUAGUGGGAUUAUUCAAAUCAAAGAGAAAAAUCAUCUCAAGUUUCACAAAAGAGUCUUUAUGAAGUUAGUGAUGAUUUUGAUGUGAAAGCUACUCUAACUACACUUUCUAGGAAAAUAAAUGCCUUAGCUAUGAACCAAUCCAUGAGUCAUCACCCUAGUGUAGCUAAUGAGGUUUGUGCUAUUUGUUCCAACCUAUCUCAUACAACACAAAAUUGUCCAUCAUUACUAGCCUAUCAAGAGGCUUAUUCUGAGCAGGUACAUGCCUUACAAUCAUAUUAUAAAACCUCUAAUAGUCCAUAUUCACCUACAUAUAGUUCUAAUUGGAGGAAUCACCCUAAUUUUUCUUGGAAAGAAAAUCAACUUUUAUCAAACUAAGGAGGGCAACAAUUUAGCAUGCCCAAUCAACAAUUUUUCCCUCAUAACCAAGUAUAUCCUCUUGCCCAACAACCUAUGUCUCAAUUUGUUGCAACCCAACAAAGAAAACCUUCUUUAGAGAAACACUUCAAAAUUUCAUUCAGUCUACCCAACAAGCCUUUCAGUCAAACACUCAAGUUAUUCUAAAGCUUCAAUAUUAAUUGGGUAAAUUAGCAACGACUGCAGUUGAGAGAGAAAAAGGAAAAUUCCCAAGUCAACCAAUUCCUAAUCCUAACGAAGUGCAUAAAGUUGGAUCGAGUUCAAGCCAUCAGCAUGAAGAAACAAAAUCUAUUAUGACAUUGAGAAGAGGAAAAUUAUUUGACAACAAGGUGGAGGUUCGAACAAGAAAAAUAUUAGAACCUACUUCUGCAAAUCCAGUUCCAUCACAAGACACAUCACCGGAUGAUCCAGAAGAAAGUGGCCCACCAGCUUACAUUCCUGAGGCUCAUUUUCCUCAAAGGUUAGCAAAGAUAAAUAAAGGGACUUCAACAAGUGAGAUUAUCAAAAUCUUCAAGCAGGUUAGUAUAAACAUCCAUUUACUCGAUACUAUUAAGCAAGUUCCCUCCUAUGCCAGGUUUUUGAAGAAUUUAUUCACUAAAAAGAGAAAUUUGCAUGUCACCAAAAAUACAUUUUUAACUGAACAAACUAGCAAUUUACUUCAAUGUAAAAUGCCACCAAAAUUUAAGGAUCUGGGUUCCCCUACUAUCUCAUAUGUUAUAGGGAACCAAUUUUUUGAUAAAGCACUAUUGGAUUUAGGAACUAGUGUUAAUCACUUACCUUAUUUUGUUUACAUGCAACUUCGACUAGGUGAAUUAAAGUCAAUUUCCAUUAUUUUACAACUUGUUGAUAAGUUAAUGAAAAUACCUCGUAAUAUUAUAAAGGAUGUGUUGAUACAGAUUGACAAAUUUUAUUAUCUACAGUUGAUGAUAGUGUAAUUGCAGAAGUCAAUGCCUUACUCGAUGCAACUCCAAUUAUGGACACAACUGAAUGGAAGAUAAAGCCAAAACCACUGUCUCAUUCUGAGAAGAAGAUUAGCCCAUCUGUGGAGACACCACCAAAAUUGGAGCUCAAAGCACUGCCCGACACUCUAGAGUAUGCAUUUUUAGGAGAAUUUGACACCCUACCUGUUAUUAUUUCUUCUUCCCUCGAUCUUGAGCAAAAAAAGUAAGUUCUUGGGUAUUCUAAAAGAGCAUAAGGAGGCAAUAGGACGGACCAUUGCUGAUAUUAAAGGUAUUAAUCCAGUAGAUUGCAUGCUUCAUAUUUAUCUUAAAGAAAAUGCUAAGCCUAUUAGGGAGAUGCAACGUAGGCUAAAUCCUAACAUGAAAGAAGUGGUAAGAGCUAAAGUAAUUAAAUUAUUAGAUGCAAGAAUUAUUUAUCCUAUUUCAGGUAGCUCUUGGGUUAGCCCUGUGCAAAUUGUUCUUAAGAAAUCUGUUGUUACGGUAGUUAGUAAUGCUAAUAAUGAAUUAAUUCCCACUGGAGUAAUUACAAGUUGGCGUGUUUGCAUUGAUUAUAGAAAAUUGAACUCAAUCCUAAGAAAAUAUCAUUUUUCUUUUUCAUUUAUUGAUCAAAUGCUUGAUAGACUGACAGGUCAUGACUUUUAUUGUUUUCUAGAUGGAUAUUCAGGUUAUAAUCAGAUCCCUAUAGCUCUAGAGGACUAGGAGAAAACUACUUUUACUUGCCCUUUGGAACUUUUGCAUAUAAGAGAAUGUCAUUUGGUUUAUGCAAUGCACAUGUUACCUUUUAAAGAUGCAUGCUUAGUAUUUUUUCUGACAUGGUUGAGAGAUUUCUUGAUGUUUUUAUGGAUGAUUUUUCUAUUUAUGAAGAUUCUUUUGAUGAAUGUUGGCAGCAUCUAACAUUGGUUUUGCAGAGAUGUAAAGAAAAGAACUUAGUUUUAAAUUGGGAAAAGUGUCACUUCAUGAUAAAAUAAGGUAUUGUUCUUGGUCAUAUAAUUUCCAGCAGAGGUAUAGAAGUUGAUAGAGUCAAGGUAGAUUUAAUUUCUAAUCUUCACCUCCCAAAUCCGUAAAAGAAGUAAGAUAUUUUCUUGAACAUGUUGGUUUUUAUAGAAGAUUCAUUAAAGAUUUUAGUAAAAUUUCUAGACCCUUAUGCAAUUUACUUGUUAAGGAUGCACCUUUUAUCUUUGAUGAUUCUUGUCUUGAUGCUUUUAAAAAAACUUAAGAAAUUGUUGACUUCUUCACCUAUCAUUCAGCGACCUAAUUGAGAUUUGCCUUUUGAAAUUUUACGUGAUGCAUAUGAUUACACUGUAAGAGCAGUUUUAGGACAAAAAUUAGAUCGUGUGCCUUAUGUCAAUUAUUAUGCUAGUAUGACACUCAACGAUGCACAGUUGAACUAUUUAACUACAGAAAAAGAAAUGCUAACUGUGGUGUUUGCUCUAGAUAAAUUUAGAUCUUAUCUUAUAGGUUAUAAAAUGAUUAUUUUUACUGAUCUUGCUGCUUUGAAAUAUUUGCUCACUAAGAAAGAUGCUAAGGCAAGAUUGAUUCGUUGAGUCUUACUUUCACAGGAAUUUGAUAUUAAAUUUAGAGAUAAAAAGGGUUCUGAAAAUGCGGUGGCAGAUCAUUUAUCUCGCCUUGAUCUUCAAUUUAUCUCAGAAUCCUUACCUUUGAAUGAGGGUUUCCUAGAUGAACAACUUAUGAGUGUAAAUGUUGUACCAUUGUUUGCUGAUAUAGUUAAUUACCUUACUACUAGUCAAAUCCCAGAACACUGGACCAAGUAAGAUAGAACAAAGUUCUUAUUCGAAGUGAAGAAUUUCUUUUACGAUGAUCCUUAUUUAUUUAAAUAUUGUGUUGAUCAGAUUAUUAGGAGAUGUGUUCCAGAGAAUGAAAUUCAAAGUGUCAUCUCUUUUUGCCAUGAACAAGCUUGUGAAUGCCACUUUGGUGCUAAAAAGAGAGCAAUAAAAAUUUUAUAGUGUGGUUUUUAUUGCCCUACUCUUUUUCAUGACGCUUAUGUUUUUUGUUCUUUAUGUGACAAGUGCCAACGCAUGAGUAGCAUUUCAAAGAGGAAUAUGAUGCCACUCAAUCUUAUUCUAGUAGUUGAGAUUUUUGAUGUGUGGGGUAUUGAUAUUAUAGGACAUUUUCCUCAAUCUUUUGGUUAUCAGUAUAUAUUGGUUGCAGUUGAUUAUGUGUCGAAGUGGGUUGAAGUUGUUCCAUGCAAAACCAAUGAUCAUAGGGUUGUAGUGAAGUUCGUAUAAAGUAAUAUCUUAUCUCAUUUUGGUUUCCCUAGAACAAUAAUUGGUGAUGGUAGUACCAUUUUUUGCAAUAAACCUUUCAAAACUCUUUUAGACAAAUAUUUCAUUACACACAAGGUUGCCACCCCAUACCAUCUUCAAACCAGUGGCCAAGUAGAGAUAUCUAAUAGAGAGAUCAAGCAAAUUUUGGAAAAAACAGUUAGGCCAGAUAGAAAUGAUUGGUCUUUGAGACUUGAUGAUGCAUUAUAGGCAUACAAGACUACGUUCAAAACACCAUUUGGGAUGUCACCUUAUUGACUUGUGUAUGGAAAAUCAUGUUAUCUACCAGUAGAACUGAAGCUUCGUGCAUAUUGGGCUAUCAAGAAAUUCAAUUUUGACAUGCAACAGGCUGGUUCCAAGAGAAGAUUACAACUAGCAGAACUUGAACAGAUCAAGAAUAAUGCUUAUGAGAAUGCUAAGAUUUGCAAGCAUCGAAUGAAAGUCUUUCAUGAAAAGUACAUUUUGAGAAAAUCCUUUGCAUCAGGUCAGAAAGUACUUUUAUACAAUUCUCGAUCUCUUUCCAGGUAAGUUACGUUCUCGAUGGUUUGGUCUUUUUAUAGUUCAUACUGUCUUCCCUUAUGGAGCAGUUGAGAUUGAAAAUCCUAAAAAUGGUGAUUUAUUUAAAGUCAAUAGUCAAAGAUUAAAACUAUUUUUAGAGUUAAAAACACUAGAAGUUGAGGAGAUACUUUUAGAUGACCAUGUUUAUCAGGAUUAAUUAAUCCCAUCUUUACGUUCUUGUUUUAUUUAAAUAGUAGGUUUUCUUUUCAUUUUUUUUGUUUUUCUUUUCUAGUAUUUUUCUUUUCUAACGUUUUCUUUUUAUUUCUCAUUUUGUUUUAAGCUUCCCCAACCUAUUCAGGUGUGAUCUCUCCAACUUUUUCUUUUAUUAUUUAUGUUAAAUCUUUUCCAUUUUUGCAUGCGUAUCUUUUAUUUAUUAAAAAUUGAGGACAAUGUUCCGAAUAAGUUUGGUGGUGGGAAUAGUGUGUGUCUUUUUUUAUUUAAAAAAUUCAAAAAAUUCAAAAAAAAAUUGUUUGUUUUUACGUGAAAAGCGAAUGAUAAGAACUUGACUGACAAUUAAUAUGAUUAUUAGAAAUGGUUGAAUAUUGUCUUAGUUUGUAGGUUCUUGUGUUAAUUCCUCUUAAUUGAGAUUCUUUAAACUCUAUGCGCACUAAUAUUAAUUCUUUCUUAAUUUUAACUAAUAUGAGAUUGAAGCAGCCUGAGUUGAAAAUUUUAUUUAGAGUAAAUGACUGUUUGUCUUGAUUCUUAUCUUCACAAUACAAAAUAGUAUACACAGGCACCAAAGUAAAAAAUAGCUACCUUGAGAAUGAAGCUGUCAUUGAGUAAUUUGGGCCCAUGUGCCACCAAUUUGUAGAGGAUAAUCUACCAUGAGAAGAAGGCUACCUUAAGGGGUAGAGUGAAAGUUUCUAACUAUGGUUAAAAAAAAGAAAAAGAAAAAAAGAAAAAAAUCAAGUGCAUGUGCUGAAAUGAAAAAAAAAAUCAAAAGAAAAUGCAUCUAGAAGUCUGUGAAAAAAAAAAUGGAGAUCAAGAUACUAAGAUUAGUUUGACCUACUCUUUUCUUUGUUCAAGGCGAAAGCUGUUGAUAUUGAAGAUUUUGAGAAUGGUUUUUAAUUGAAUUGAUUCACACACACACUACAAGAAUCAAAAGAGAGAUGAGAUUGACUAUUGAAUCAAAGUUAGAACUUUGCCAUUAUUUGAAAUUUUCUUUGAGCUAUAUAAUUUAUGCAAUCUUUGAGGAUAUUUUUAUGUUUUAUUUAAAGUUUUUUAUUUUAUUUUAUUUUUAAAAUGAUGUUUAUUGGUAUAAUCAUUGAAGCCCUCACGAGACUAUAAAUAACUCGUCCACUACGGCCGCCUAAAGGUUUAAAAGCUUGUUGUAUACGCUAAAUGCAAUCGCGAUUGCCUGCGAAAGUGGUUUAGUUAGGAUUUACUUUUCGUUAUUUUUAUUUUUGUUUUCAAUUUUAGUUUUGCUCAAGGACUAGCAAAAUUUAAGUUUGGGGAGCAUAUAAUAUAUACUUAUUUUACCCUUAAUUAUAUGAUUACUAGUUAUUUUUAUUUAUUAUUUUUAAUUAAUUGAAUUAUUUUGUUGAAUAGGGAAUUAAUUGGAGAUUAUGGAUAAAAAAGGUCUGAAGAAGUUUAAUUUGGGAAGUAAUGAAGAUUAAAUUGGAAAUUAAUUGGAAGCCAAGAAAACCAAAAGCUGAAGUCAAUCUUUUCAAAUAAUGAAUGGUGGACAUGCAUUUAGAAAACAAAGAUUUGGUGAUGGCAAUUGCACAUGCAUGGCUUUACAAUUUUGGAAAGCAAUUUAAAGGAACCCGUGAGCUUCCAAUUUAAAAAAGGGGAAACAAACUUAUGGCUUAUGAUGUUGACAAGUAAUAGUGGCAUUAAUUGGGAAAAUUGACUUUAGAUUGGAAAUUGAAUCCAAAUUGGAUCCAGCCAAUAAAGUGUACGGGAUUUAGCCAAUAAUUGCAUGGUCCUGGGCAUUAAUAAUGGCAAGCUAGAAACUAAAAAAAGGACGCAAGGAGAGACACAAGACAAAGAGAAGUGAAGGGCUGCAACAAUUUAAUUUUCUAUGGUUGGUUUUAUUUAUUUUGUUGCUCCCAAUUUAAAUAUAUUUAACUAAUUUUCUUAUAUUAAGAUUAAAGAUGAAAUCCUAUUUAAUGAAAUAAUUAUUUUUAUAUUCAAUUGAUUCCCUACAUAUGUGCUUUAAUACUUAUGAUUCUUGUUUCAAAUGAUUAGUUAGAUGUUAUUAAAUUAUUUCACCAAUUCGAUCAUGCAUUAUUGAUUGUUAGAAUUAAUAUUUGAUUAAAUCUAUACUUGGAUCUAUAAAACUUAUAUAUGAUUAUCUUUGAUUCUGAGUUUUUCAUUAAAUUGUUUACACAGAGUGCUUAGGAAGAUUUUGACUCUUUGUUAUUCAAUAUGUUUACAUACGAUGCUUAGAUAUCAUACUAUUAAGCAGAAAACGAAUCUACACAAGAUUAAUCUUAAUUGGUCUUAUUUGUUUUAUUCAUGAGACGACAUAGAUUGAUUUCGAGUUGUCACUCUAAAAUUGAGGAUUAAUUAACAAUUAGAUAAUUACUAGUUGAAUAGUGGUGGAUUAUGAAACUUUGGUAAUUUUUGUCUUAUUGAAUUCUCAUUUGCUUUAAUUGUUUUCUUAUUUUAAUUAGUUUUAUUUCUCUUAAAAACUCAAUUUGCUCAACUAGGUUAGGAUUAAUAUUAAUUUUAGAUUUAAAUUAGACUUUUCAAUUUAUAACAAUCACAGUGGGUUCGACCUCGUUAUCACUAUUGUAUUUCUAGAUUCGUGCACUUGUGACUAUAUUAACGUUUUUCACAACAGUAUUCGAAGACCACAUUGAGCUUUGACUAAUCCAUAUUUGAGCCGGGUAGGACCACUAGAGUGGUAAAUCUCUCCCAAUAAGUAUUUAACGCAACUGCAUUCCCAAGUUUCGAACCGAGAACCUUUGUUAAGAUAGAAUAUCUCCAUGCUAGAUAAUCUACGCGCUUAUUGGUUUCAUCUUUUUAUCUCUUACAGUUCUGCUAUGCAUGCUCACCGAGGGAAUGAUUGAUUGAGACAUUCAAUUUGAUAUUUAAAAGUCUAACCAAAGAGUAUUUUGAGCUUGACUUUUACCUUAACGAACCAUUUUCAUAGAUUCAUAAGUUUGUCCUUAUUACAUACAUAUGAAUCUUUUACUACAACGUCCAAGUUUGUUCAACCAUUUAGGUACAAUAUAAUAUGGAAAAAAUAAUAAUCUUAUUCAAAUAACCAUACACUUAAGAUUUUAUAUGAAAAUAACUCAAUUAAUUUAUUGGUCAGAAAUUUUAUUUAUUACAAAUAAAAAGUAAGCUUUAAAAAGCAUAGAUCCAUAAUACAAAUUAUUUACUGCUUUGGUUAAUGCUUCCAAUGCUGGAGGCCUCCCAUUAUAGAUUUAAACAACGAGAACUUUAACCAGCAGCUGUGUUUACUUAAAAUGAACAAGAAGGUUACUCACAUGAGUAAAGAUGAAGAGAAAGCCGAGGUUUACUAGGGACAACAACAAGUGGGAUUUUUCUAGGCAUUGUCAGUCCAAAUCUGUCCUCCAUGUCCAAAUCCUCAUUCUUCAUAUCACCAGGUAAUUUCCAUUCAAAACCAUAUAAAAGAUUUGCCAAAGUUGACUGAACAACCUUAAGCCCUAGACCAUAACCCGGGCAUAUCCUCCUCCCAGAUCCAAAUGGCAGCAGUUGAAAAUCAUGUCCUUUAACAUCAAUAUUUUUACCGAUGAAUCUGUGAGGCCUAAAUUCAUUAGGCUUUUCCCACAUGGUUGGAUCUCUUCCUAUUGCCCAUACAUUAACAACCACACGAGUGUUUCUUAGAAUAUCAUAGCCAGCAACUCUGCAAUCAUCUCUAGCAACCCGAGGAAGAAGCAAUGGUGCCACAGGGUGGAGACGCAUCGUUUCUUUAACAAUUGCUUCUAUAUAUGGAAGGUUAACAAUGUCCUUUUCUUCUACCCAUCUGUCUUUCCCAAUCACUCUAUCUAGUUCUUCAGUCGCCUUUUGAAUAGCUUCUGGAUUUUUCAAGAGCUCUGACAUUGCCCAUUCCACGCUGAUUGCCGAUGUGUCAGUUCCAGCAGUUAAUAGAUCCUACGAAUCAAAAUGAAAAAAGAAUUAUGAUGAUACAGAUUUCCAAUACAGAAGACACCUUGAUAGUUGCAUUAUUUGGUGAUGUUUAAAUUACUCUGUGGGGAAACUAUUGCCUCAAUCAUUUAAAAACCAAAUUAUUUUCUGUUUUAUUGCACAUAUCAAUUUAGUACGUUAUACUUAAAAGAGUUAAUUUCCAUUAAUCACUAGAUAAAUUGGUAGAUUUUAAUUUAUCCCCAAGCUGUUAAAAACAUCAAUGUAGCCCUCAUUUAUCAGUACACGAGAAUGAAAUUCUUUCUCGAUCCUCUUGGUUCUCAAUAGUAAACCAUGAGAAAGGGUUAUUAUUUUCAAAAGAUUUGGAAAAUAAAUUGAAAUAUGUCAUACUUGAAAACUACUAUUUAGUUUUUUUAAAAAAGUACACGAAUUAAAUUCAAAUUUAUGAAUACGUUACUACUUCACGAGUUUUUACUAGUACACCGAACUUCAAAUUUACCUGGAUUAGUGCCUUUAUAUGUUCUCUUUCAAGCUUAACUUCAAGAGAAGGAUCAUCCGCAAGUUGCAUAAGAACAUCAACCAUAUCAUGAACCCCAUAAUCCUUAACUGAUUUUCUCCUCUCAUGGUGCUCAUCUAAAAUACCCUCGUAAAAUUUAUCAAGCUUCUUGCUCACAUCCUUCAUUCUCUUAACAUGCCCUUGUAAAUCAAAAGAAGCAAGCCAUGGAAUUGAGUCCCCAAUAUCCAAAAUACCAAUAAGCAAGAACAAUUCUUCAAUCAUUUCCGUGAAGUCUUUUGGAGUCACAGUAUUUUUUUCAGCUUCGUCCGUAUACCUUUUCCCCAACACCAUCCGACAAAUCGAAGUAAGAUUGAGUGUGUAGAGACGAUCUUUCAGAUGAACAGGUGUGGAAGCUGAUUUGAACAACUCCGAGAGGAAAGCAUUUCUUUCUUCUACCCUUAUGUACUCAAACUGAUCCAAGCGUUUUGCACUGAGAAGUUCCAUUAGGCAGAUUUUGCGAGCCUGGCGCCAAUAUGGGCCAUAGGGUGCGGUUGACAUUGCUGAGUAAUUGUAAGUUGUGUACUUCCCAGCAAGAAGAGCUGGCCUUGAAGCAAAGCUAAUGUCAUGAGUCUUGAGCAGAAGCUCUGCUACUUCAGCUGAUGAGCCUACAACAACCGGGGAGAGGCCGAAUUUUAGGUGCAUAAGGGGGCCGUAUUUUUGGGAGAGAGAGUGGAUGGAGACGUGAGGGAGAGGGCCGAUGAGGUUCAGGUUUCCGAUCAAUGGCCAUGGCCUUGGACCCGGUGGCAAGUUUAGUUUACGGGAAAAUUGGCGGUGAAACAAGAAGAGGACGAUGGGGAGGAAGAAGAGGAUUGAGUAAAAUAUAGCUGAGUUUGAAGGACCAGUCAUAGGAUUUUCCAUUAUUUUGGAUAAACUGUAAAAGGUGGUGACGAUGAUUUGAUUAUUGUGUCUGUGAAAGUGGAAGUGAAAGAGGUAUUUAUAAUGAUAUAAACAAGGAAGAGUAAAAUAAUCCCAUUCCAUUGUAGAUUUGAAAAGCAUAAGCAAGGGAUAGUUUGGUACUUUUAUUAAAGAAUAAUUUAUUUUUUCAAUUCUAACUUUUUUUUUUGAAAGAGAAAGUAAAGCUUUCAUUAAGAAUCAAUAGCGAGUAACAACAAAAUCUCAUCUGGGUAAUUUCCCAGCCAAACAGCAGAACUUACAUACUCUAAAGCUUUCUUUGCUAGCCCAUGAGCAAUACGAUUGAAAGAUCUUGAAACAUGCUGGAUUUGCACCCUACCUAGCCUCUUUAAGCUAUCUUGAAUUGUGGCUAUCUUCCAGAAGAUUUCCGUUCUGCUUCCUUUUCUGUUACAAGCAAGAUCAACCACCUCUUUUGAAUCUGACUCUAUGAUCAUUGGCAGAAAAUUUGUAUUUUGAGCCACCUGGAUGCCAAAAUUGAUUGCCUCUGCUUCCAUGCAGUCGACAUCCCCUUUGUAAAUGGUAUUCUGAACAGCUGCUGCUACAACCUUUGCUCUCGAGUCUCUGAUAACCACUCCGAGGCUUGCUGUCUGAUUUGAGGGUCUGAUGGCAGCAUCCACAUUCACCUUAUACCACCCAUUUGGAGGAGGUAGCCAUGUUUGUUGGUUGUUGCUCUGGUUCUGUGAAACAAUUUGGGUAGCUGGGAUUUUAAUCCUUCUGUAUGACUCUACAACUGCUGCAGCCCUUCCCACUGAUAUUUGAGCAUCUUCUUCUUUCCCUUUGAAAAUGAAUAGAUUUCUAGAAGACCAAAUUGACCAGCAUGUAGCAAUAAUCAGUUCCAUGUCCUUCAUACUCGCAAUUUUCCCCAUCUCCUGGAGGGUGCUUAAUAAAUCCUGUUGAGCCAACAUCUUCAUGUUCUGGUGAAAAUCAGUCAAUUUCCAGACCUUGUUGGCAUACUUGCAUCCAAUUAAGGAAUGAAAACCAUCUUCCUUCUCCUUACUACAUUUGCCACACAUUGGUUCCUUUAUGGCCUUUCUUUUCCAGAGGUUAUAGGCUGUUGGAAGCAUAUUCUGAGCUGCUCUCCACAUGAAAAUUUUAAUCUUUUCCGGGAUCUCCAUUGACCAAAUAAUCUUCCAAUGAGUUUUUGAUAAAUCUGAGCUGCUGGCCAAAUCUGGGGAUUUCAGUAUUAGAGAUAACUGAUACCCACUCUUAACAGAAUAAUUACCAUGCUUGUCAAAAUGCCAUAUCAAUUGAUCCAAUUGAGGAGAACUUGGAAGAAUGAUUCUUUUUAUUCUUGCUACAUCCUCUUCUGAAAAAUUAUGAGAAAUCACAUCUUCCUUCCAGGUUUGGUUGCUGAUCAGAUUAGCUACCACAGAAUUUGGGUGUAAUGUCUGGAUGGACAGAGGCUUUAGAUUUUCAGGCCUUGGAAUCCAGUUACUCUUAUAAACAUACACUUGCUCUCCGUUGCCGAUCCUCCAUCUUGAGCCUUUGUGAAUAAUCUGCCUGCCCCAAAGAAUGCUUCUCCACACAAAAGAUGGAUUUGCACCUAACUUUGCAUCCAUAAAACUGGAAUUCUUAAAGUACUUAGCCUUCAACACCCGAGCCAUCAAAGCCUCUAGAUUUUGAAUAAGUCUCCAGCCUUGCUUUGCAAUUAAGGCUUGAUUAAAGCAUGAGAAAUCUCAAAAUCCCAGCCCUCCUCUUAUCUUGGCUUGGCAUAGUCUCCCCCAUUUUGCCCAGUGAAUGCCUCUGUGCUUUCCUGCGGAACUCCACCAGAAUUUUGCUACAGCUUUUUGAAUGUCAUCGCAAAUGCUUUGAGGUAUUUUAAAUACACUCAUAACAUAUGCCGACACCGCUUGAGCCACAACAUUUAUGAGCACUUCUUUUCCCCCACAAGAAAAAAAUUUGCUUUCCCAACUGGUUAACUUAUUAAGCACCCUUAGCUUGGCAUAGUUAAAAAAAUUGGUCUUUUUUCUUCCCACCAUAGAUGGCAAUCCCAGGUACCUCUCAUGUCUCGAAACAACGUUCAAGUUAAAAAUGCUUCCUAUUUCAUCCAUUUGGCUCUGCUUUGUGUUGGUGCUGAAAAAUAUUGAAGACUUCUCAAAGUUGAAUAUCUGUCCCGAAGCAGCAGCAUACAUUUCAAAGAUCUUCUUUAGGUGCCUGCAGUCUACACUGGAAGCCCUUGAGAAAACCAAGCUGUCGUCUGCAAAAAGGAGAUGAGAAAUAGACAAAUUUCUACUGAACUUCAGCCCCUGGAUCGGCUUUUGUUUUUCAGCCUGCAUGAGUAAAUUCGAGAACACCUCUGCACAAAUGAUGAAUAAAUAUGGUGAUAAUGGGCAGCCUUGUCUUAAACCUCUUUGAGGAUAGAUUAAACCUUUCACCUCCCCAUUAAUCAAAACUGAAAAGCUUGCUGUGGAUAUACAGUUCAUGAUCAAGUUCACCCAAUUUGCCGAGAAGCCUAGCUGCUGCAUUGUGGUUUUCAAGAAAUUCCACUCAAUUCUAUCAUAGGCUUUGCUAAUGUCUAGUUUGAGCGCUACCAACCCAUAUUUUUUACCCCUACUUUGCCUAAUUUUGUUUAGGCAUUCAUACUCGAUUAUUACAUUAUUCGUAAUUAGCCUAUUCGGGAUAAAAGCGCUUUGAGUUGGAGAGAUAAUAGUAUCCAAAAUUUGCUUUAACCUAUUUGCCAAGGUUUUUGCCACAAUCCUAUAAAUAACAUUACAAAGGCUAAUUGUCCGGAAAUCAGUUACUUUCCUAGGAUUUUGUAAUUUUGGAAUCAAGGCAAUGUAAGUAUGAUUUAAAUGAGCGAUACUACCUCCCUCAUUUAGGAUGUGCAGGCAGGUAGUGGUUACACCUUCCUUGACUGAGCUCCAGUGCUUAUGAUAAAAGGCUGCUGGGAGACCAUCCGGGCCUGGAGCUUUGGUGGGGCACAUCUGAGCAAGAGCCUCUGCUACUUCCUCGGCAGUGAACUGUUGAUCCAGAAAGCAAUUCGUUUCUUCCGUUACUCGCUUUGGUAGUUCUGCUACGGCUGUCUCCAGCUGAGUUUGGGAUGGAUUCGUUGUGCUGAAAAUGUUUGCAAAAUAAUCACACAACAAUCUUUCCACUUCUUCUGCUUCCUCUUUCCAUAAUCCAUCUUCAUCCUCCAGCCCCAUUAUCUUAUUUUUUCUUUUCCUCGCCGAUGCCUUAGCAUGAAAAAAUUUAGUAUUUCUAUCCCCUUCUCUCAGCCAAUCCGCCCUCGAUCUCUGCUUCCAGAAGAUUUCUUCGUCAAUUAGAAUAUUAUCAAUCUGUCUUUCUAUGUUUUUGACUUCUAAUCCGCUGUCAUAAUGGCCAUAGUUCUGUCUGAUUUCCUUUAACCUCUCCUUCAGCUGCUUCAGCCUUUUUUGUCUGCCCUUGAACUCCUCGUUACUCCAUAGCUUGAGUUCAGCUAGUGACUCCUUUGACUUCCUUUGAAACAGAUCAACAGGAUUUCCCCUGUCCCAACAGCUUGAUUCCUUCCACUCUCGCUUAACUAUUUCUCUACAUUUCUCAUAUGGGCUCCACAUAUCUUCAUAAUGAACUCUGCGGAAAGUUCUUCUGGAAUACCUCAAACCACUUCCUUUUUCCAGCACUUCCAUAAGAAUUGGGUUGUGAUCGGAGCUCCAAGUCACUAGAUUCAUUGCUGCUUUCUCCUGGAAAUAAUGGCCCCAACUCCUACUGCAAAGAAAUCUAUCUAAUCUCUCUUCAAUCAACCCAACACCAAACCUCCUAUUUGACCAAGUAAAGGGAUACCCCGUAAAUCCCAUAUCUAUGAAAUCACAUUCCCUAACCGCUUCUCUAAAGUCAGCCACCGAGUUAACUUGUUUCUCAUUUCCUCCUAGCUUUUCAUUUAAAUUUAAGACUUCAUUAAAGUCCCCAAAACAGAGCCAGGGUAAAGAAGAUAACGUUGCUAACCUUCUCAACAAUUUCCAAGUAUGCUAUUUUUGAGCUGCUUCUGGAUGACCAUAUAUACCCGUACAUCUCCAAUAACUCCCCUUCUCACUAUAGACCACAGCAUCAAUAUGAUGACAACUGAAGGAUUUUAUUUCCACUGUUAUCUCCGAAUUCCAUAGCAUUGCCAAACCUCCCCCCAUUCCUUCUCUACUAACUGCAAAAUAGUUUGCAAAAUGCAGCUCGUAACUCCUUUUUCUCAUUUGCUCCCUCGUCAUUUUCGUCUCGCAAAAAAACACAAUUUGGGGCUUGUGCUCAUGGACUACCUCCUGAGCUUCUCGGAACGUCCGGUCGCUCCCCAAUCCCCGAACGUUCCAGCUUAAGAUCCUCAUGGCUAUCGGCGGGGCUGGUUUUCAGCCACCGCCGAUAAUUCAUUGACACUACAUGCAACUGCUUCCAUCUCUUCAUCCUCUAGCCUCAAUGUUGUAGCUUCUGUAAUGUUUAGUUGAGCUCGUUGAUGACAGCCAUAUUUUUUUGGGGUACUUCCUUUGAGCUUCUUUGAGUUUGGGCUUUCCAAAUUUAGCCAGCUAACCGACCUUUUUCCUUUUGUUUGCCCAUCUUUUGUUCCCCAUUUUCCUUCAUAAUUUCGUGCAUGAUACUUCCAUUUCCGUCUUUUGGGCCUAAGCUUUUCAUCCUUUAGCCCAUUGUUGCCAUCUUCGGCCUCUGACUCUAUUUGAAAGGAAAGCCCACUUGCCUUUUGUUUUUGCUCUAAACUUUCUAAUUUCCAGAUUUUUCCUUCCACUUCCCGCUCACCAUUUCCCGCUUCUUCUUCCACUAAAUUCAUGUCUUGUUGUAAUUUCUUUCCCGCCCAAUUUGUCCCUUUCCCAUGAACUGCAAUUUUGUCAGCCUGCUGCUCUGACCCUAAAUAGCUAUUCUCUAGCUCUCUGAGAUUUGCUGCUGCUUGUAUUAAAUGAUCAGCAUCACCUCCUUUACCCAUUUUUUUCUCUAAAGAAGGAUUAUCCAUACCCGAAUCCGUUUGGUUCUGGAUCAGAUUCCCUUCCACUUCUGCCCCUUUCUCCUCUACCUCACUUUGUCUCCUUUAUUUGAUCUGUAGUAGUUCAUUGUUUACUCCAGCUGAAUUUUUGGCAUUGAAUUGGCUGGAUUCUGUGCUCCAUCGAUCCUGUCCUCUACUUUGUCUUAGCCGUUUUGCCAUGGUUGUUGCUUUUAGCCAUGGGCCAUAAGCUAGCUGAUCUUUGGGUUGAGACUUAUAAUGACCACACUCUCUAUAUUGAUGACCGAUACGCCCACAGCAGAAGCAAAAAUCAGGGAGCCUUUCAUACUGCACCAGCAUUGGGAUCUCUUCCUUCUUCGUUUUUCUCAUCCCAUUUCUCCAUCUGUUCCAGCACAACAAUCUUCUUUAAUGGCUUUGUGAUGUCCACCGAAAUCCUCAUUCGUAAGAAUUUUCCUAUACAUUCCCCCGCUGCAUCCGUUUCAACUUCCUCUACUCUUCCGAUUGCUCCACCCAAUUCUGCAGCUGUCUCUUUUUCCAUACACAUAAUUGGAACAUCAUGUAGUUGUACCCAAAAGGAUACAUGAUUGAAGUUUAGUUUCUUAAUGUCACCAAUUCCAGAAGGUUCGAUAAGCACGAUAAGUGCUCUGUCAAAAUGCCAUGGUCCACCCGCUAGAAUUCUUCUUUUAUCUUCAUUUGAUCCAAACUUGAACAUGAAAAUAUUAUCACCCAGUCCUUCAAUUUUGACUUCCUUGCCUGUUCUCCACACCUGUUGCAUUGCUACUCUCAAUCUUUCUACUUUGACUUCUCUUGAUAAGAAUAUUUUUCCGACCAAACAGCCUGUUAAUAUCUUUUCCCCUUUUGUUUUCAUUCUGCUCCUAAACGUGACUUUCCCUUCUUCUUCUUCACUUAGCUGGAUGGCUCUGCACCGCUUAAUUAACUCAUCUGUAUCCAUUUGCUUUAGCCGCCAGUAAUUAAGAACUGCAGCCAGUGGUUGGACACCAAACUCCUUAAAACUUUCUACCCAAAUCCUGCAACUCCUGCUUCUAAAAUUAAUCUAGAAUACUUCCUCUGAGAGCAUUAAAACCAACGAAAGUCAAAGACAGUUCAAAGAGCCACACUCAUGACGAGAGACUAAAGUUAGAGUCAUGACAACUCUGUUUACCACUCCCAUCCUUUUGUUUUCAGAGAAAACUUCAGGAGGGAUCUUUUUUCCCUACUCAAUUUUAAUGUUUUUGGUUGGUGGUCGUCAGCUCAUUAUAUAUAGAUGUAUAAAAUUUAAAUGACAUAAACGUGCUCUACAGAGUUAGGCAUGCACGUGUAACACAACAUUUGUUACUACUUAUUAGACGACCUUAGUCCAGAUACUAAGCACUUCCUAUUUCAGCUUCUAUUUUAGGCUGGAGUAAAAUUUGAAAUGCUCUUGUAUUUAUUCUUUCAAAAACUUUUGACCCCACACUCAAUAUUUUUGUUAUAAUUCGGUUCGCUUACGAAUUCGGGUUGGUAUGAAAUAAUAUAACAAGUAAGAACUGUGAAAGUUGUAAUAUAGUUGCUUGGUUGUUGAGAAAAAAAAAGAAGAAAAUAAAGGGAAAAAUGAAAUUGAAAUAAAAGAGUUGUAUUAUUAUUACACGCAACUGUACAUAAGCGAAUUGUAUUUAUAUUGUAUCAAUGUAACUAACUUGUUAAUAACAAAUUUAUUAGCUUACCAAUAGUAGAAUGACAAAUGUAUAAUCUUAAACAAACUUGAGCCAUGCUGACUAACUAACUAAUGAAACUUGCUGAGCUUUAGCUGCUAAGCAUGCUAGAACCUUCUAAAUCAUGUUGGAACCUUCACAUCCCCCCUCAAGUACAACAUUGGAAACAAUGUUGAGCUUGGAAUGAAGAUAGUAAAAUGGCUGAAAGGGUAAGGCUUUAGUGAAAAUAUUUGUUGUCUGAUCAAGGCUGGGAAUGUUUGAAUGUGCAAGCUUUUGUUAGCUACCUUUUCUCGUAAAAAAUGAACAUCAAAUUCAAUGUGUUUAGUUUGAGAGUGAAAUUUAGGAUAGCUGGCUAGAGUUAUGGUACUUUGGUUAAAAUACCAAAUAACAUGGAUAAAUGUAGGAGAAACAACAAGUUUAGUAAGGAUCUAAUCUAGAGCACUUUUGAGGUUGCUAUAGCAAGGGCACUAUACUCAGACUCAUUGUUGGACCUGGAAACUACAGGCCGCUUUUUAGAACACCAUGAGACCAGAUUACGUCCUAAAUAGACAUAAUAGCUAGCAACUAAUCUUUCAUUAUCUUUAUCAAUUGCCCAAUCUGCAUUUGAAAAACAUUCAAGAUAAAGUGAACCUGAUAAGUAGAAAAAAAGAUCAAGAUUAAUGGUGCCUUUAAAAUAUCUCAACACCCUUUUGCAAGCUUGCCAAUGGACCUCAAUAGGUGUACUAAGGAAUUGACCGAGCUUAUUAACAAAAAAUGCAAUUUCCGGUCUUAUGAGACUGACAUUUUAAAGAGCACCAAUUGUGCUUCUGUACAAGCUAACAUCUGAGAAUGAAACACCAUUAGUUUGAGUUAAAGGAUUCCCAGAAGCCAUAGGAGUAGCACAUGGUAUGCUAUCUUACAUAUUGACUUUGGCAAGUAGAUUAGCUACAUAUUUGGAUUAAGAAAGAAGCAAGCCAGAAGUAUUUUGAGUAACUUGAAUACCCAAUAAAUAAUGAAGAUCUCCCAAAUCCUUCAAGGCAAAUGUUGAUUUCAAAUCAGUGAUAAUUUGAACAAUUAAAGAAUGACUGGAUCCAGAUAAUAUCAUCAACAUAUAACAGGAGAAGAGUGAGCUGGUUAGCUUGUCUUUUAAAGAAUUGGAGUUAGAGAAACCCCACUGAGUAGUUAAAGCUAGUUUAAAUCUUUCAAACCAGGUUCUUAGGCUUGUUUAAGCCCAUUUCAAGCUUUAUGAAGCUUACACACAUGAGUAGGUCGAGCUAGAUCGACAAAACCUUCUCUUUGUUGUGUGUAUCAUAUUCAUGACCCCUUAUUCUCUUUUGAAACUGCAAAAUGAUUCAAGGUGGCAUGUUAAAUGAAACAUUCUUAUAAAGAGCUCCACUAUUAGUUGGAUUUUAUUUCUACUCCUUAUAUUAGCAUGUGAACAUUAAGUCAUUAACAUAAUAUAGAACUUAGAACUUUCGUUAUGCAAUAUUGGGCCCUUGAGAGUUUCAGAGUUUUCAACCCUUAACAAUUUGUGUUUUAGAGUAGGAUAACCUGAUGAGUAAAAAUGAUUAAUAUUUUUCUCAAAAGAUGUAUAGUGAGAGUAAUUUUUUUUUUUUUUUUUUGGGUAGGUUUUUCCAGAUUGGCUCUAUUUUUCUUGCUCUGCAUGAUGCAAGUGAUGUUUUUAUGGAAGUUGCCAAAGUUUUUAAGUAUUUUGAGAAUGAACUUGGAGCAACUGUGAUCUUUGGAUUAUUUGCAAUAUCUCGGGUCAUUCUACAAUUAAUAUUCUUUUCCUUUCGGGUCAUCAAAUGUACAAGGUUUGCCUGCAUGAUAAAUGAUGUGAUGCCACUUUAUGUGGUCGUCUAGCAGUUUCUUUGGCUUAUUUGCUUUUGUGAUUUGCAUUUUCUAGCUAUGAUCUUUAGUUCUACUUGAACUUAUCAGAGAUAUGUUCAUUUACUACAUGUUCAAUACAAUGUUGCUGAUGCUCUUUGUGUUCCAGAUAUACUGGUGGGUUCUCAUAUCCUCAAUGAUCUGGAGACGGCUGAAAAGUGGUAAACUUAGGGAAGACAUAAGAUCUGGUAAGCAUUUUGAUGCUUCCAUUAUCAGUUUGAAUCAUUUAAUGUCAUCAAUUAUUCCCAGUAGUCUUUCUCAAAUAAUCAUUGUUUUUGCUUUGAUAGUCUGCAGGAAACUUGAUCCCAUAUAAUAGUUUUGCUAGAACUUAAUUAGUUAUAUUCAUAUGUGCCUAAGCCUUAGCCAUAUUUAAGUUCUUGUUUCAAAACCCAGAUAUAAUGAACUUAUAAUUGGAUAUUAAUUGUAAAUCAAACAAAAGGGUAAAGGAAUUAAUUAGUUAUAUUCACAUAUGCCUAAGCCUUGAAGGAAAGUUAACUGCCUUUAUGGGUACCCUUUUGGUUCCACAUUUUAUUGCAGCAAAGAAUUAAUUUAAGUUACAUCAGAAACUUGGAGUUUUACUUCAAUAGAUAAUUAUUUAUAAUGAUACUAUUGGCUAUAGUCAAUUGGUGUUGCACCUGCAGGUUGAGAGAAAUUGCUGGACUUAAGAGUUUUGCUGGGUAUUUGUUGAGAAUGAGAGUUUAUCUACUGGAAUUUCACUGAGAAUAUGGGAGGUGUUUUGCACUACAAGAUUUGACGGCUUCAUAGCUUGUAAAAUUUAAAGCAUUUGCUCGAGUUAACUUUUUUUUAUUACUUUGGAUGUGUUAAUUUUUGGAUACAAGUGUUUUUGGAUGAUAUUAUUAAUAUAAAGC
rnacentral:lncRNA from 1 species